rnacentral:rRNA from 1 species
UUGCUCCUACGGGGCGCAGCAGUGAGGAAUAUUGGUCAAUGGUCGGGAGACUGAACCAGCCAAGCCGCGUGAGGGAUGAAGGUACAGAGUAUCGUAAACCUCUUUUGUCAGGGAACAAAGGCGGGGACGUGUCCCCGGAUGAGUGUACCUGAAGAAAAAGCAUCGGCUAACUCCGUGCCAGCAGCCGCGGUAAUACGGAGGAUGCGAGCGUUAUCCGGAUUUAUUGGGUUUAAAGGGUGCGUAGGCGGUCCGUUAAGUCAGCGGUAAAAUUGCGGGGCUCAACCCCGUCGAGCCGUUGAAG